rnacentral:rRNA from 1 species
CCGCCCGUACCGUAAACCGACACAGGUAUGCGGGGAGAGAAUCCUAAGGUGCGCGGGAGAACCCUCGUUAAGGAACUCGGCAAAAUGUACCCGUAACUUCGGGAUAAGGGUAGCCGCUGUUGUGAAGUCUGAACAGAUGGAGCAUGAGGCGGUCGCAGAGAAGAGGCCCAAGCGACUGUUUACCACAAACACAGGUGCCUGCUAAAGAGAAAUCUGACGUAUAGGUGCUGACACCUGCCCAGUGCCGGAAGGUUAAGGAAGGAUGUCCGGAGCAAUCCAAAGCAUUCGACCGAAGCCCCGGUGAACGGCGGCCGUAACUAUAACGGUCCUAAGGUAGCGAAAUUCCUUGUCGGGUAAGUUCCGACCCGCACGAAAGGUGUAACGAUUUGGGCACUGUCUCAACGAGGGACCCGGUGAAAUUGAAGUACCUGUGAAGAUGCAGGUUACCCGCGACUGGACAGAAAGACCCCAUGGAGCUUUACUGUAACCUGACAUUGGGUUCUGAUACAUCACGUACAGGAUAGGUGGGAGGCAUGGAAGCGAGGACGCUAGUCUUCGUGGAGCCGCCGUUGGGAUACCACCCUUGAUGUAUCGGAAUUCUAACCGUAGGAGUAACGAAACUCGGGACAGUGUCAGGCGGGCAGUUUGACUGGGGCGGUCGCCUCCCAAAGAGUAACGGAGGCGCCCAAAGGUUCCCUCAGCGCGGCCGGAAAUCGCGCGAAGAGUGUAAAGGCAGAAGGGAGCUUGACUGAGAGCCAAACACGGCGAUCAGGUACGAAAGUAGGGCUUAGUGAUCCGGUGGCAUCCAAGUGGAAGGGCCAUCGCUCAACGGAUAAAAGCUACCCUGGGGAUAACAGGCUAAUCUCUCCCAAGAGUCCAUAUCGACGGGGAGGUUUGGCACCUCGAUGUCGGCUCAUCACAUCCUGGGGCUGAAGUCGGUCCCAAGGGUUGGGCUGUUCGCCCAUUAAAGUGGUACGUGAGCUGGGUUCAGAACGUCGUGAGACAGUUCGGUCCCUAUCCAUCGCGGGCG